rnacentral:lncRNA from 1 species
GGUUAAUAUAUUAUGUGUUUGUAUUUUCAAUAUUAUGUGUAUGUUAGUGGUGAAAUGAGCUUCUGAUGUAAAGCAUCUUGAAUUUUAUAUUUGGAUUUAGGGUUUAUAUUUGGAUUUAGGGUUUAUAUUUAGGUAAGAGUUUAGUGAUUAGAGUUUAGUAUUUAUAAGGUAAGGGAGUAUGGUUAGUGUCAACAUUAACUUUUUCUUUACAAUCAUAGACAUUCAAUAAAUUCACUAAUAUGUGCUAUGUUAUUUUCUUUGUUCCAUUCUAUAUGGAUUUUUGGUUUAUAUUUGAGUUUAUGGUUUAUAUUUGGAUUUAUGGUUUACUGAUUAAAAUUUAGGGCUUAAUAUUUAAGGGUCGUGGUGGUAAGAUUGUGAUUUGGAUACGUUUAGUAUUAAUGAGUUGUAGGUGGAGUUAUAAUCCUAUACUACUUCGUUGAUAUGGAAUAAAACACUCAUGCAUAUGUAUGUGGUCAACAAAAGUAUACGUGGAUGGUUCCUCCUUCUUUUAU